rnacentral:rRNA from 1 species
GAUAAACGUUGGCGGCGUGCCUAACGCAUGCAAGUCGCACGAGAGCUUCGGCUCUAGUGGCGGACGGGUGAGUAACACGUAGGAACCUGCCCGGAAGUGGGGGACAACUCUCCGAAAGGG